CAAAACAGCAACCAGAUCUCCUGUCCAGAGGGGGAAAGGAGAAGCAAGUGGGGAGAGAAGUUACAGGCUCCUAAACCUGCCCAGGCUGGAAAAUAACAUCCAGGUUUCACUCCACAUUUUCCCACUCUCCCUGGGGAUAGCGAAGGGAAAUGGCUGCAGCAUAACAGGCACAG